rnacentral:rRNA from 1 species
UACGGAGGGUGCAAGCGUUAUCCGGAUUCACUGGGUUUAAAGGGUGCGUAGGCGGGCAGGUAAGUCAGUGGUGAAAUCUCCGAGCUUAACUCGGAAACUGCCAUUGAUACUAUUUGUCUUGAAUAUUGCGGAGGUAAGCGGAAUAUGUCAUGUAGCGGUGAAAUGCUUAGAUAUGACAUAGAACACCAAUUGCGAAGGCAGCUUACUACACAAUGAUUGACGCUGAGGCACGAAAGCGUGGGGAUCAAACAGG